rnacentral:rRNA from 1 species
UUACCUUGUUACGACUUCACCCCAAUCACCAACCCCACCUUCGACGGCUGCCUCCUUGCGGUUAGCUCACCGGCUUCGGGUGUUGUCAGCUUUCGUGGUGUGACGGGCGGUGUGUACAAGGCCCGGGAACGUAUUCACCGCAGUAUGCUGACCUGCGAUUACUAGCGAUUCCGACUUCAUGUAGUCGAGUUGCAGACUACAAUCCGAACUGAGACCGGCUUUCUCGGUUUUGCUCCGCCUCACGGCUUCGCUUCCGUCUGUACCGGCCAUUGUAGUACGUGUGUAGCCCAGGACAUAAGGGGCAUGAUGAUUUGACGUCAUCCCCACCUUCCUCCGUUUUGUCAACGGCAGUCACAUUAGAGUUCCCGACCUAACUCGCUGGCAACUAAUGUUAGGGGUUGCGCUCGUUGCGGGACUUAACCCAACAUCUUACGACAAGAGCUGACGACAACCAUGCACCACCUGUCUCUCUGUUAUCCCGAAGGAUAAACACUCUAUCUCUAGAGCUGUCAGAGGAUGUCAAGCCAUGGUAAGCUUCUUUGCGUUGUGUCGAAUUAAACCACAUACUCCACCGCUUGUGCGGGCCCCCGUCUAUUUCUUUC